UAAUAAAAUAUAGGGUCUGAGCUUAGCUACACUUGUAGCUCCACCCCAGAAAGCAAAGGGUUAAGUUAAACUUAUGCACAACCUAUCCUAUAUAUCCUAAAUCCGCAUUUGACACCUAUAGUAUUGAUUUCAAAAAAACAAUAUUAUAAAAAGAAACAAAUACUAUAGGAUUAUGAUUUUAUAUAAAUUUUCAAGUUCUUUUUCUUCAAGUUUGCUCACAAAAUUAUUUUAUACCGCAAAAUAAGAAAAAUUGCAUCAUCAUCUCCUAGAAUCCAUAUGCAAGAGCUUCAGGUUGGAUUCAACACUACAUACAAUAUUCCAUUAUGGUCCUCACUAGCUCUUUGCUUGAAUUAAGCUCGCACGUCAGGAGUGUGUUAAUAAUAUAAUUAAAUAAAUAAAUAUACUCUUUCUAAUAUUUUAAACUUGUAGAAUGAACCAGCAACUCCUGCAACAAAGCAAUUAGGAUCAAAUAUUCCAUCAUCUCCCAUAUUCUCUCUCCUCAAAUCUUCAUGGAAUUCUGGCAACGAGCGGAAAAUGGUAUUUAAAUCAUUCCCAGGAAGAUCAUUCAAGUAAAUUUGAAAUUCCGGCGAUUGUUGUUGGCCGUUGCUUUUUCAAGUUUCAACAAAAUUUAUGUCCAAACGCUAGUUAAGUAAAAGAAAAUAAGUCUAAGCUUUAUGUUCCGAUAAGAUAAGAAAUACUAUCAGAUCACAUAAAUGAUAACUAUACGUUUUACACUGUACCUUUUACACUAUCAGUAUAUAUAAGUAAAAUUCAUAAGAACUUGUUAUUUAUAAUUGUUGCGAGUUUAUAACUCCAUUAGGAAUAAAAAGGUGUUUGAUGAUACCUGGAGCUUAGAGUUUUUUGCAUAGCUUGUGUCUCCAAUUCCUCCAUUCAUGUGAAGUAUUUUAGCAACUUCCAUCUCUCCUUCUCUUGCUAAUUGGAUAUUUUUGUGUUAAAUUAGGUAUUUAUAGAUGGGUGAAACUAAAUUUAUCCUUUGAAUUUCCAUCAUUGUCCUCGCGAGCCAACUGAGAAAAUAUUGUACACUAUGGGUGUGUUUGGUAUGAAAUAUUUUUUAAUUUUUCCAUAUUUUAUUGACUUAGAUAUUUUGGAAAAUAUUUUCCUCGUAACUCAUUUUUCUCCAAUUGGAGAAAAAUGUUCUCCCUAUCAAGAGAAGGGAAAAUAUUUUUCAAACAAGAAAAAUAAGUAAUAAAAUCACUUAUUCUCCAGGAAAGACAUAUAAAGAUCAAGGACUAGAAUCGUUAAGGGUAACUAGCUUAUUUUCCUAUUUGUGUACCUUAAUUAUAAGUAUUAUGACUUGAUCAAACCUAUUAAAACUAGUAGAAAUGACACUAGAUAGCCACUUUAAAACGCUGCUAUUUAGGAAUUAGCAAGUAUAUCCUGAAUUUUAGUUUUUCAGUUUAAUUUUUCGAGACACAAAUAUCUCUAAUUGUCUAAAAGUUAAGAUUUUUAGAUGAGAAAUUUA
rnacentral:lncRNA from 1 species